AUUCUAACUUUAUUUUACGUAUUGUGACUUGUUGAAAAGAUUAAAUCAGCCCCAAGUACUCAGGAUUAAAAAAUCACCAUUUUUGGUCACUUUUCACAUUUAAGCAUACUCAUAUGAAAUCAAAAAUUUCUGCAUUACUCAACAUAGCAAUCCAGCCACAGAUCACUCAAACAAUUCAUAUAUAUUAUCAUAAAUUUAUUGCAUCAUAUAUAACAAAUAGUCCAAAUGGAUCAAUAUUCAAAUCAAUCCUAAACUUUAACAUCAUUAAUAGUUUCCAGUUCCAAAUGGAGACUCGAUCUGAGUCAUUCGCAGUUACCAUUCAUGAAUGCAUCAGAUGCAACUGGAUCUUAAUGCUCAAUCUGCAGUAAAUCAGCAAUUCAU